AUAACUUAUUAAAAAUAUUUCCUCAUAAAAUUCAGAAGGUUAAUUUCUCUAAAAUGCUUACAAUAGAUGCUGACACACAGAAAGUGCUGAUUUUUAGCGACUGCCAUUGCUAUUGUUGUUAAUACCUAAACACCGCCCUACUCCCUGGCCAAGUAUUUAUAGCUCCCUGCAAAUCCCAAGGAACUCUGGGAACCUCCUCAGAGAUUUAGGUAGAAGUAUCUGUUUCCUUUUCAGGCCUUCUAUGGCACUACUUAUCUGACCUACAUUUAGCAAGUAGACUGAGACUUACUAAAUAUUUUCAUGGGAAAUAAAACCUGAAGAAAUGACUAGCAAUAGAAUAUAAUAAACAGUAACGAUAGAAAAAAGUACCACAGGCUCUAUAGAGUAUAUGCUCUCUGAGGGCAGGGACAGUGCUUCCUGUGUCUCUGCUUAAUUUUCUUAAGAAAAUUAAGCCAUUUUUUUUCUCUGAUUCAAUGGAGGAUGUGAUUAGAAGAUCAUUAAUAAUAGACCAAUCUGUUUACAUAGACAAUGUAUAAUCAGAUAGUAGAGUGUCUUGACUGGUAGUAUAUGAACGUGAAGAAAUAAGGAGCCACCUUGGUUUUGGACAGAGGGUUGUCUAGCCCAUCUGGACAGUACCUGGAUGUCAUGACUGUGUUGGUUUGGUGGGAUUAGUUUGGCAGCAGGCUGCCAAAUGGAAUGAAACAAAGAGGGUGACCUGAGAGGAGAUCAUUGGGUGGGAGGGUAUGAGUACCUGAGCUUGGACUCCAGGAAUGAACAGGGAAGAAAUCUUAACUCCAAGAGCAGAUGGUAAAGAACAAAUAACUAGGAUUUGGGAGAUCACAGAGGAUGCUGAAGAGGCAAGGGUAGAGAAGGUGACUGCUGGAUCUCUUCCUUGGUUAACUUUGGAGAAUUCAAAUUGGGAAAAGCUUUUCUUGAAGGACAAAAGAUGUGUGCAUUUACUAGACCUUGAGCUCCAAGAUGGCAGAGACCAUGCCUGUCUUGAUCAUCACUGGAACCCCAGUGUCUGCGACCAUCCUUGACACCCUCUUACAGUGAGAGGCUAAAAGAGCAUCUGAAAUUAAUUAGUGGCCACUUACCUUGAUAUCUACACAGUCCAAUAAGAUACAUUGUAGACAAUUAUCUCCCACCUGUUUAACGAUUCUCCAGUUCUUGUUAGCUGGCAUAAUCAAUUUUGCUAAAAAGCCACACGUCUCACAUCUUGGGAAGGAUUUCCCAAAUAGGCAACUUGCUUAAUUCCAGGAUGAGUGACAGAAUCUGCAGACCCUGAGGCCACCUCACUCAUAUCUGCCUUAAUGUAACUGGUAAAACAUACUUGACAGUACAUCACCUCCACAGAAAGGUGCCCCAGAAAGCAACUGCUUGCUCCCACCCUGCUGAGAAGUAGCAAUCUCCAUGUGGCUUAAGGGCUCUAGCUGCAGCCAUGAACAGUGUUAUAAAAAUAUCACCACCAUUUGCCAGCAUGAGAUGCCAAACUGCCAAUAAGAGACAGGUCGAUUCAAUGAAGCAGAAACGUUUCACUUGUUUUUAAGAUCACUCGCGAGAACAUCAUUGCUAUGUCUGCCUUUAAAUAAGAAAUUGCAUUUAAAAAAACAGAAAGAAAGAAAAACCAUCUCCUCUCGUCUCCCUACAAAGGGACAAGGUUUUUCCCACUCGGGUGAACAUUGCCUGUGCUGCUUGCCGAAGAAAGGGAGCAGUCUUGGCAAGCAUCUUAUUAGUCUAAAAAUAAAUUAUUCAGAAUGCAGGUUCAGAUACAGAUCGCAGGGAGAGAUAAUAGAAUUGGUUUUCCAAGCCUGAUCAUGCUAUGAAGACGUGGUGUGUGCUUUUCAGGAAUCCACUUAAGUGGAAUCAGCUUUGACUAAUACAAACUAGAAAUAAUAUUGCUGCCAUCCAGCUUGUGUCUGUGGUACCGCAUCCUCAGAAUGUCUUCAAGUAUCCAUGGCCUCUUUAGUGUCCCUCCAGGGCGGCAUCUCCGUGGGCACGCCGAGCUUCCCCUGGUUACCUGAGCUGCUCCUGCGUCUCCCGCCCGGGCUUCGCCGUGGUGCCCGGAUCCCGGAAUCGUGCGUCUCCGUCCUGCGGAAGAAGGCCCUGCUGGCGGAGCUCUGGCCGGGGUCUGCUCCCUCACAGCUGGGCGAGGGGACCUGCAGAACCGGGUGAAGCUGCAGAAGACCUGGCGAGGGACGACCAGAGAGAACGCCAAGGAUGGGGAAGGGGAAGUUAGGAAUUCCAUCCAUCCAGUGCCCACCGGUGCUCCGCAGGGCAAGGGCAGCCGUGGCCCCUGCCGCAUGCGCCCAGCUCGGGCUGCUCCCAGGGAUUCAGUCUGGGGGGACAACCCGUGGCGAGAUGUGGUGGCAUUUUACCUCAGAGCGCAGCUGAAGAUGGAUAAACAAGGCAUCUGAUGUAUCUGCCUGGGAAGGCAGAGCUGGAGAAAGGCGGAGUGAGGGAGCGCGUGCAAGGCAAGAGGAGAUGCCGAAUGCCGGGGCGAUUGUCUGCAGCUCGCUGUGCAUUCUCAUUCUAGGAGGAUGGCAUAAUUUAUAACCCGGCACAUGGAUGGAGGAACUGUAAAUCCUAGUCUGGACGUCCCCGGCGCUGUCAACGAAGGAACUGAUGGGCUAGGUGACUGUACCAGUGUCCCCAGAGAAAAUCGCAGCCUCGCAGCAUGGAUUUAAAUGCAUGUGCAUGCGUGUAGAGACAUGGAGAGAGGUUUCUGACCAUUUUACACAGGAAGUCUGUCACUUUGCUGGAUCGGGCUUGAUUGCAGCUUGUGUUUUCAGCUCCAGCUCAACACCCAUUUCCUGACUAGUGAGACAGCAUGGCCAAAGCAGCUGCAUGCAGAAUUUUCUUUUUACUGUGAAAGCAAGCCCUCUCUGUGUUAACUCCUUCCAGUUCUGAGUGCUCUGUGCUUUGCUAGGACCGAUGGUGGGGUUUUGUUUUCUUCUCCUAUAAAUCCCUGUAAACACAGCUGUAUUCAGUAAUGGCAAAAAAUUCUAUCCUGUAAAUAGAAAUCCGAUCAAUUUAAUCAAAAUAAAUGUAUCCCAGAUGACUUUGAGACCAGCUGGCUACCACAAGCUUUAGAUGCUAAAUACUCAGUGGAGAUAAAUACUGUGUUAUAUUUACAUGUUUCAGAAUGCUGGGAUCAGCCUGUAAUUUGCAAAAAGAAACUCUUUUCUAAAGAGGAGAGGUGGUCCUGCCAGCCCACAGCUAGGCGGUUAGAUACAGGUGUAAAUGUUGUUCAUGUGAUUGGCAGAUCUGCCGUGUUGCAUUUCGAAAGGCAUGUGCCAUAAGGCGGAGUAUGUCCAUUGUCAAUAUGGAGAAUGCUUGUUUCUAACUUGCUGUUUUGGAGAGCCCAGUGCCCUCUGAGUAGAUUCUGGUGAGGUUGAGGGUAGGCACUGGAGGCUUGUUGUACUUUCAGAUGUGAGGACUGGGGUUCUCCAACCCCAGCUCAGUGGAGUCAGCCAACCCUGGGGGUGAGGAGCUUUCCCAGUUGUCAUGGGGAGCUCUUCUGGGACGCCUGUCUGGCCCUUCCACUGUUUGUUACUAAUUCUACAAAGGCAGCUCUGUGUGCUGGAUUAUGUUUGGCCAGCUGUUGAUGCAUUCCUGCGGGUGGGGCUGGGUGAGGAUCUUAUUACUGUACUUUCAAACUGUAGAUGGGUGUGCAGGGAUAGCUCGGAAGGAAAGGAAAAGCGUAAGUUACGGAAUCUGAUCGAGCAUACCCCCUUCUCCAGAUAGCCCUAGAGUGAAUCCAGAAAGGGUUUAAAGUCAAAAGAGUGAGUGAUUAGGGGUGGGUGGCAUGAGGGGAAGAGAAUGAAACGGAGAGCGCGCGCAAGAGAAAAACAGACUUGGAACUUCAAAGCUGCAUAGACAAGCAGAAUGUCAGCAGCUUGUAAUUAGCGGUUCAUGGUUGCGUCAGUGACUGUAUCUAUCCAAGAAUAACUAUGUGAUGUGUGCCACAAAGUGAAGAAGAUAGUCAUAACUAAGUUAUCAAACCCAGUUCAAACAAGGGCAAAUGGAUUAGGAAGUUUUCUAUGUUUGUAAAUCAAAUGCUGAUUACACAGAGAAGUCUUGCUGAAUUCUGUAUAAUUGAAGGCUAAAUUAUCAAUUUGUCAGGGGGGAUAUGUUCAUUAAAUGAAACUGUGAACCCUUAAACAUGCAAAUCAAUCAUGCGAGAAUAUAUCAGUGCAAGCUUUAUCAGUACGAGAUAUUUUACUAAACGGCCGAAAGAGCCACUGCCAGUCUCCUAUCUCUGUAUCCGUACAUCAUUUGUGUGUGUGCAUUUCAAUAGAGAGAAGUCAAAAGUUACACUCAAGUAAAUAUAAAUUAAAUUCUGUCAUUCCCAUUUUAGAAUUUAAAAAUCAACUGAGGAGUUUCGAUUUUUUUUUUUUUUUUUUUUUUAAUCUCCUGAGUUUAAACCUUGAAGGAGCUUUUGCUGUUCUGAAGCCAAACAGCAGCUAGUCAGUAAUCGCUAUGGGAAGUCAGGGUACCAUGGUUGUUGAGAUUUGAAGGCCACGCUCACUUCCCUCCCUGUCUCCUGUGCUUCGAGAUUUUGGUGCUACUGCAGCCUCCACAAAGAGAUGGUGGGAGGAGCUGAUUGGUCCACAGGCUUAGAAUGUUUACUCUUGUUUGUUUUCAGGCUCCUCACGGCAUUCAUUCUGUAUUUCUAUUUGUGUUCAUGCCGCACAAUUACUCCUGACCUGCUUUGUUUCUCUGCCCAAGGAGAAGUCAGUUUUAGUUCAGCUCUUUAGUUUUUGGGUAAUAUGUGCAUACGUAUUGCAUUACCCACGUAUGCGUUUUUCUUUUUUUUAAAAUGUGGAUUAGGGAAAAUUGUAGGCAUGGAGAGCUGUGUAUAUUAAAUCAAUAGCUUUUUGAAUCACACGUAAUAUAAUUUAAAUAUACUCACUUUGAGGUUGCCAAAACUGACAUUGUCUGAGCCCGUUUAAUUUACAUCUUCACUUUAGUCAAGAAGCGGAACCUGCCAGAUCAGAAUAGUGUAUUCUGUGCACCCAACAGGGUGGAAGACAUUAUUUUGUUUGUGUUAGUUCGAACAGCUGGUCAUUAAUGCAGUCCCCAUUUCUAGAGCGAAGUGCUGCUGGACAUGAAUGCCUGCCUGAUUAAUGCUGCCCCUCCGAGGGUCCUUCACCCAGCAGUCAUGCUCGCAGCAGAAUAAUGUAGCAUGAUGUGAUUGCACUCUAACAGGAUAGUAUGUCAUUGUGUCACCAAGCAAUUGAGGUUAUUAUGGGGCAGGGCAGACAGACGGGACAGUGGGGUUACUAGACUGUAGCAUUUUUAGAAAUACAGGCCUGACCUACUUAGAGUUAUUCUCUCUGGCUGGCAGCUGCAUGGUACAUAAAGUCUCCUGAUUGGCUGAGGCUGUUGCUAGGGGGGAAUUAGCAUGAAUUUUUCCACACACAGACUCAGUGGCUGAAUGAUAAAAGCUGACUGGAAUUAAAGAGAUUUGGUUUAGUAUUAUACAGAUUUAUCUGCCUCCUUUUCUUUCUCAAGUGCAGAGAAAGAGUGCAAAACACAGAUUUUGUUUCCAUUUGUUCUUUGACCUUCUUGUUCUCUCUCCCUCCUCUCAAGAUGCCCGAGGGGAGGAGAGCAGGACAGUUAUGAAAUUCUGGUUCAUCUCUUACUGUUGGGGUCAUGGAAACGAUGUUGCAAAUUACAAGAUAUUUAAGCUUAAAGACUGCUGGGAAUGACUACCAGAAGGUUAGAUUAUUUUUCCUCUUCUGUGCACUAAGCUGUAUUGAAGUUGGGUAUGCAUCUUUCAUGCACUGUAUGUUUAUACUCUGUUUCCCUUUUGGGCUUGAACAAAACAUUUAUAUAAAUUCCUUUCUAUCCAAACAGAUUGAAGCUUGCAGUCUCUGGCUUGUUUAAAAUAAGGUGGUCAGGAUUCCAGAUUUAGACAGGAAAAAAAAAUAUGUAUAUAUAUCACUUUUGUUAUUACAAAAUAUUAUUGGCUGUCUUUAAAAAGCCAGCCUGAUGUGGAUGCUUGUGGAUGAAACCUAACUACUCCUACUCUACCCUGUUGGCUUCACAAUGUAUAGGAAGACACAGGUUUUUCUCCAGAAGAAAAUCUGCCUGCAGAAUGUAUCUGGAGGUUGUUUUCCUUGUUGCUGACAUAUGCACGGCCAUGUAGACAGCUCACAUAAUCAAUUUUAUAAGAUGACCUAUUUUUUCCCUUCUCGUGGGUCUCCAAGUGUCUGUGCCUUUUAGUAGAUAUUUUCUAGAGGGGGAGUUUUGAUAGAUCUUUUUAAAGUAAUCUGAAAAGCCAUCAGGAGCAAAAUUAAAGCAAUACAUAUUCAAGAAUCCUGUUUCUUAUUCUUAAUUAUAUGCUAUCUAUGCUUAAACUUCAGUUUCUUUCUGAUACCUUUUAGUGCUGAAAGUAGUGAUUAUCCUGCCUUUUAGAUUUGAAAUUAAUUUUUGUGAGAACAUACUGGGGUAUCACAAGUAAACAAGAUGCUGGAAAAGAAUAAUAGAGAUUCUUAUAAACUUGUCACAUUAGAUUUUUUUUUUUUUUUUUUUUUGGCCACAUGAAAAAGGCAAGAGAAAAUUUAGGUGUAGAUUUUUCUUUUCAUUUAGAUUUUUUAAAACAUUCAGAACUAUAUAGAUACAUAAUGCUUUUAAACAGUGAUUUCUACUUAUACCAGAGACUACAGUCAAAACAAAACAAAUUCUCUAAUGGUGUCAGAGCCAAGAAAUCUAUCAUAUAUAUUUAAAAUCCAGCAGUGUUUACUUUUCAGCAUAUAAAUAAAGCUUAUCAAGCUAAAAAAAAAUAGCGUAUAUUUUCUGAUGUUAUAAUUGGUAGAUACACCUCACAACCUUUAAGAGUCCCCACACAAACGUUUAUUGUAAAGGUUUCCAACUAUACUAGCAAUCUUUCUUAAUUGAAUAAAAUGUCACUUGAUAUUUGUUGAAUAAAAGAUUACCUUAUCCUAA